AGAUUGAGAGCUCUUUCUUGAUUCGUUUGACGGUGGUGCAUGGCCGCUUUUGGUCGGUGAAGUGAUUUGUUUGGUUGAUUCCUUUAACGGACGAGACCCAAGCCGCUUACUAGGGGCGCCAUCGCUGCGGGCGACUGCCGCACGCGGCGGGAGCCCGGAUAGCGUCCCCUUCUUCGCGGGAUUCCAGGCGCCUUAGCCUGGUUAAAUUUUGGGCAACAGCAGGUCCGUGAUGCUCCUAAAUGUUCUGGGCGACACGCGCACUACAAUGACAAAGUGAAUGAGUGAAACCUUCGGGUCCUGCUCCGACAGGAGUGGGAAAACUUCGAAAACUAUAUCGUGCGUCGGGAUCGAGGGUUGCAAUUAUCCCUCUUGAACGAGGAAUGUCUAGUAGACGCACUUCAUCAAAGUGCAUUGACUACGUCCCUGCCAUUUGUACACACCGCCCGUCGUUGUUACCGAUGUCAGUUUGAUACAGGACGACGGAACCCCCCCGGGGGCGAAGUCGUCCGAUAUUCAACUAGUAGAGGAAGCAAAAGUCGUAACAA
rnacentral:rRNA from 1 species